GUGGGGAAUAUUGGGCAAUGGGCGCAAGCCUGACCCAGCAACGCCGCGUGAAGGAAGAAGGCUUUCGGGUUGUAAACUUCUUUUACCAGGGACGAAAAAAAUGACGGUACCUGGAGAAUAAGCCACGGCUAACUACGUGCCAGCAGCCGCGGUAAUACGUAGGUGGCAAGCGUUGUCCGGAUUUACUGGGUGUAAAGGGCGCGUAGGCGGGAGAGCAAGUCAGGAGUGAAAUCUAUGGGCUUAACCCAUAAAUUGCUUUUGAAACUGUUUUUCUUGAGUGAUGGAGAGGCAAGCGGAAUUCCUAGUGUAGCGGUGAAAUGCGUAGAUAUUAGGAGGAACACCAGUGGCGAAGGCGGCUUGCUGGACAUUAACUGACGCUGAUGCGCGAAAGCGUGGGGAGCAAACAGGAUUAGAAACCCUAGUAGUCC
rnacentral:rRNA from 1 species